GUUACUGUUGUACAUACUUUGCAUAUAUCCAGAUUGGAUCUAAAUACAGAGACUGAGAAAUGCCUAUAUGUGGUUAUUAGAACUUUACUGAACCAACAAACAUAAUGUUGGCCUUAGACUUUUGCACAGCACUGUAUAAAAUUAAAUCAAACUG